rnacentral:rRNA from 1 species
ACCGGAUGCGGAUCUCGAAAGCCUGUCCCAGUUCGGACUGGAGUCUGCAACCCGACUCCACGAAGUUGGAUUCGCUAGUAAUCGCGCAUCAGCCAUGGCGCGGUGAAUACGUUCCCGGGCCUUGUACACACCGCCCGUCAAGCCAUGGGAGCCGGGGGUGCUUGAAGUGCGUCGCCGCAAGGCGCGCCCUAGAGCAAAACCGGUGACUGGGGCUAAGUCGUAACAAGGUAAC